CGCUGGCGGCGUGCCUAACACAUGCAAGUCGAGCGGAGAUAACGUGCUUCGGCGUGUAUUCAGCGGCGGACGGGUGAGUAACGCGUGAAGGACCUGCCCCUUACAGAGGGAUAACAUCGAGAAAUCGGUGCUAAUACCGCAUAAGACCACAGUGCUGCAUGGCAUUGAGGUAAAAGGAGAAAUCCGGCAAGGGAUGGCUUCGCGUCCCAUUAGAUAGUAGGCGGGGUAACGGCCCACCUAGUCGACGAUGGGUAGCCGACCUGAGAGGGUGAUCGGCCACACUGGAACUGAGACACGGUCCAGACUCCUACGGGAGGCAGCAGUGGGGAAUAUUGGGCAAUGGGCGAAAGCCUUACCCAGCAACGCCGCGUGAGAGAAGAAGGUUUUCGGAUUGUAAAUCUCUGUCCUGGGGGACGAAGAAAGUGACGGUACCCCGGGAGGAAGCCCCGGCUAACUACGUGCCAGCAGCCGC
rnacentral:rRNA from 1 species